UCCUACGGGAGGCAGCAGUGGGGAAUAUUGCGCAAUGGGGGAAACCCUGACGCAGCAACGCCGCGUGAGUGAUGAAGGUUUUCGGAUCGUAAAACUCUGUCUUUAGGGACGAUAAUGACGGUACCUAAGGAGGAAGCCACGGCUAACUACGUGCCAGCAGCCGCGGUAAUACGUAGGUGGCAAGCGUUGUCCGGAUUUACUGGGCGUAAAGAGUAUGUAGGUGGGUGCUUAAGUCAGAUGUGAAAUUCCCGGGCUUAACCUGGGCGCUGCAUUUGAAACUGGGCAUCUAGAGUGCAGGAGAGGAAAGUGGAAUUCCUAGUGUAGCGGUGAAAUGCGUAGAGAUUAGGAAGAACACCAGUGGCGAAGGCGACUUUCUGGACUGUAACUGACACUGAGAUACGAAAGCGUGGGUAGCAAACAGGAUUAGAUACCCUGGUAGUCC
rnacentral:rRNA from 1 species